GGAUCCAGACUUUGAUUAUGGCUCACGAUGAACGCUAGCUACAGGCUUAACACAUGCAAGUCGAGGGGAAACGACAUCGAAAGCUUGCUUUUGAUGGGCGUCGACCGGCGCACGGGUGAGUAACGCGUAUCCAACCUGCCCAUCACUUGGGAAUAACCUUGCGAAAGUAAGACUAAUACCCAAUGACAUCCCACGAAGGCAUCCGAAUGGGAUUAAAGAUUUAUCGGUGAUGGAUGGGGAUGCGUCUGAUUAGCUUGUUGGCGGGGUAACGGCCCACCAAGGCAACGAUCAGUGGGGGUUCUGAGAGGAAGGUCCCCCACAUUGGAACUGAGACACGGUCCAAACUCCUACGGGAGGCAGCAGUGAGGAAUAUUGGUCAAUGGGCGAGAGCCUGAACCAGCCAAGUAGCGUGCAGGAUGACGGCCCUAUGGGUUGUAAACUGCUUUUAUAAGGGAAUAAAGUGAGUCUCGUGAGACUUUUUGCAUGUACCUUAUGAAUAAGGACCGGCUAAUUCCGUGCCAGCAGCCGCGGUAAUACGGAAGGUCCGGGCGUUAUCCGGAUUUAUUGGGUUUAAAGGGAGCGUAGGCCGGAGAUUAGGCGUGUUGUGAAAUGUAGAGGCUCAACCUCUGCACUGCAGCGCGAACUGGUCUUCUUGAGUACGCACAACGUGGGCGGAAUUCGUGGUGUAGCGGUGAAAUGCUUAGAUAUCACGGAGAACUCCGAUUGCGAAGGCAGCUCACGGGAGCGCAACUGACGCUGAGGCUCGAAAGUGCGGGUAUCGAACAGGAUUAGAUACCCUGGUAGUCCGCACGGUAAACGAUGGAUGCCCGCUGUUGGCCUGAAUAGGCCAGCGGCCAAGCGAAAGCAUUAAGCAUCCCACCUGGGGAGUACGCCGGCAACGGUGCAACUCAAAUGAAUUGACGG
rnacentral:rRNA from 1 species